UAACACAUUUUCCUCAGUUUUAAUUGAAAUAGUAAUAUUUUAUUGAUUUCUCUUUAGUUAAAUUCUAAAAUUUAACAAAUUUUAGUUUAACAAUUCUAAUAAAUUAAAAAAUUCAGCCUAAAUUAGUAAAACAUGAUUUUAUUUUUCUUAGUGAAGUGACAGACACCUAACCCAUAAAAUACUUUCGUUAAUUUUCAAUCGAAUUCGCAUCGAAAAUAAAAAAUAUUUGUUAAAACUGUGUUUCUAUACGAAAAUCGUUGUAUUCGCUGGGUACAAGCUGAGCUUCGUUUGCAGAUUCUAAAAGAAUUUUCAUCUGGAAGUUAUCAAUAGUUCAAUACGGAAUUCCGGAAGUAGUGUUAUCGUUUCUCCUUCAGGAUUUGCUUUUG